rnacentral:rRNA from 1 species
GUCCAGACUCCUACGGGAGGCAGCAGUGGGGAAUAUUGCGCAAUGGGCGAAAGCCUGACGCAGCGACGCCGCGUGAGGGAUGAAGGUCUUCGGAUCGUAAACCUCUGUCAGCAGGGAAGAACGGUCACUGUGCUAAUCAGCAGUGAAUUGACGGUACCUGCAAAGGAAGCACCGGCUAACUACGUGCCAGCAGCCGCGGUAAUACGUAGGGGGCAAGCGUUAUCCGGAUUUACUGGGUGUAAAGGGAGCGUAGACGGCAGUGCAAGCCUGGAGUGAAAGGAUGGGGCCCAACCCCAUGACUGCUCUGGGAACUGUACAGCUAGAGUGCCGGAGGGGUAAGCGGAAUUCCUAGUGUAGCGGUGAAAUGCGUAGAUAUUAGGAGGAACACCAGUGGCGAAGGCGGCUUUCUGGACUGUAACUGACACUGAGGUACGAAAGCGUGGGGAGCAAACAGGAUUAGAUACCCCUGUAU